rnacentral:rRNA from 1 species
CCUACGGGGGGCAGCAGUGGGGAAUAUUGGACAAUGGGGGCAACCCUGAUCCAGCCAUGCCGCGUGUGUGAAGAAGGCCCUCGGGUUGUAAAGCACUUUCAGUGAGGAAGAACGCCUGGUGGUUAAUACCCAUCAGGAAAGACAUCACUCACAGAAGAAGCACCGGCUAACUCCGUGCCAGCAGCCGCGGUAAUACGGAGGGUGCGAGCGUUAAUCGGAAUUACUGGGCGUAAAGCGCGCGUAGGUGGCUUGAUAAGCCGGUUGUGAAAGCCCCGGGCUCAACCUGGGAACGGCAUCCGGAACUGUCAAGCUAGAGUGCAGGAGAGGAAGGUAGAAUUCCCGGUGUAGCGGUGAAAUGCGUAGAGAUCGGGAGGAAUACCAGUGGCGAAGGCGGCCUUCUGGACUGACACUGACACUGAGGUGCGAAAGCGUGGGUAGCAAACAGGAUUGGAUACCCUAGUAGUC